rnacentral:rRNA from 1 species
UACGUAGGGUGCAAGCGUUGUCCGGAAUUAUUGGGCGUAAAGAGCUCGUAGGCGGUUUGUCGCGUCGAAUGUGAAAACCCGGGGCUCAACCCCGGGCCUGCAUUCGAUACGGGCAGACUAGAGUUCGGUAGGGGAGUCUGGAAUUCCUGGUGUAGCGGUGAAAUGCGCAGAUAUCAGGAGGAACACCGGUGGCGAAGGCGGGACUCUGGGCCGAUACUGACGCUGAGGAGCGAAAGCAUGGGUAGCGAACAGG